AUCAUCCAGACUCACCGCCUUCCGUUCCUCAUCAAAUAUACGCAUCUCUCCCGACGAAGAAGGUGCAGCAACCAGCUGCAGGGCUCCGACAUGGGCGCUCUAGUUCCCCAGCAAGCUGCGGUUCUUUUGGCUGCGCUCUUGGUCUUGGCCGUCAGCUUAUUAGGCAAGACGGCUUGGAAGGCCGAGGCGGCAGCGCCGCCGGCGGUCGUGGUUGGCUCCGUCAAGUGCUUGGACUGCUCCCCCAGCGAUGUCGAUGCCUUCAAAGACCUGCAGGUAGCGAUCAAGUGCAAGUCCGGCGCCGACGAGGGCUACGAGACGAAGGCGCGUGGCCCCCUGGACGACACGGGCGUCUUCCGCAUCCCACUCGCCGCCGAGCUCCUGCGCGACGACGGGAGCACGGACCGCGACUGCUUCGCCCAGCUCCGCAGCUCGCCCGACGACACGCCGUGCGUCGGCCAGGCCCCGCCCAGGAUGAUCGCGCCCGCCAGCCAAGUAGACGGCAGCAGCAGCACGAACACGACCUACCUCGCGGCCGCGGCCGCGGCCGACACGGCGCUCUCCCCCGUCGCGUGCGCCUGCGGCAAGAAGAAGAAGAAGCACUUCAUGUUCGGCCCGCCGCCGCCGCCGCCGAGGCCGACGCCGACGCCCACGCCAGCCCCGACGCCGACGUACGGGCCCCCGACGCCGACGCCCACACCCGUGCCGGAGCCCAGGCCUCCGGCGCCCGAGGAGCCCGAGCCGUUCUUCAAGAAGAAGCCGAAGCUCAAGUUCAUGCGCAAGAAGAAACCGUGCCCGCCGCUCGCCGACGACGACACGACCCGGCGGCCUGCGGCAGCAGGCGGGCAGGGGCAGGAGAAGGUUCCCAUGAAACUGAACUAGGGGAUCGGAGCUGGCUCGUGCGGGGACAGCAGCAGAGCUCUAAGAUGUUGCAGUGUCAGUGACGUUCGUUUCGUUUCGGUUCGGUGAUGAUGUUGCUGUGUUGUCAGUGAUUGUUUUUGUUCGGUUCGUGUGCCCGUAUGUGUCGCGCGGCGGCAUUGGUGUUUCAGCCCGUUUGCUUGCUUGUAUGUGAUUUGAGAAAUAAAGAUAGAAGUUUUCGUUCACCCUUUUCA
rnacentral:misc_RNA from 1 species